GCGCAGUGAUUUGCAGGAGAGCCCCAGGCUCUUCUCAGAUCACUUACCAAUCUCCUGCUGUACCACGACCGGAAUGAGAAGUGUCGGCCGUUUUUUGUUUGACCCAAAAGACGGUCUGUGGCUGAAAAAGAAAACACCUUCAGUGGAUCAAAAUCGAGCUCAGCUUCAGAGGGGUACAGUAUGCAGUAUGUCAAAAAACAUAAAGGAAAGAGAGAAGCGAAAAAAGAAAUCUUGGGUUUGACUGCUUGGGCAUGAGGAAUGAAAAGGAUGGACCCUGGACCUGGCUUCGAGAAAGCCUACAGUAACACCAGUUCUGGGCGCAUUGGAUGAUGGGCAAACCUUCAGGGACCAAACUGAAAUAUUUCUUCUUCCCCAGAUCAGACUUGCUAUGCCAGGACAAGAGGUGGAAAUUAAAAAUCCAAACCAAGAUUUUAACCAACCAGUUAAGUACUCUGUGGCCGAAAGAAAAUCUUGGUCUGAAUUUUUACUUUCUGGACCUGAAAUUUCCACCUCUGGCUGGGACAAUUACCAUCUCUUAUUCCAUGGCAGACGAAAAACUUCAUACACUCUAUGAAAGUCAGUGAUAUCUACAGGUCUACCUCUGUGCCAGUACACCUCAGACAUGUAUUUCCACUAUAAAAUUGAAUAAUAUGUUGCACUUGUGCGCUGAAUAUAUGUUACAUCUGCAGCAUCAUUUCCACUGCAAUUUACCUUACUGCUGUCAAACUGAGUCCUUGUGCUUAUACACACUGCAGUUGUUUCACUGGACUGUUCUGCUCAUUUGAUUAUUCAAUUUGCAGUUUCAUAUGAGUUAUGCUACAUUAUGGCUGAUUCUGGAUUAUUUUACUGGGAUUUUUCAGUAGAAUUAUCUGUUAUAUUGGAUAAUAUGCACCAUGCCUGUAUAAUACUGUUGCCUCUGGACAAUUUUACUCUUUCCGUUGAAAAUCUGAUGGAGAAAAUUAGU